GGUGGAGUUUUGGUUUCGGCAAUUUCUCUGAGGUUUCGGUUAAAAAAAUAAAAAAAUAAGGAACAAAAUCCAGGUGAGUUAUUUUGCAGCAUUAUAUUUUAUUGUCAUCUAGAAUCAAAACGUAUGUAAUUCAAGUACUUUUAGGCCGAAAUAAAAUUGUUUAUUAAGAUAUCACAUGAGUGCACUGAUAGAUUAAGAUGCCAAAUAUCAUUUAACUUUGUGUGAAC
rnacentral:lncRNA from 1 species